GGGGUUGGGGGAGGAAGGCUCAAACCAUCAGGCUCUGGGUUUCGUUUCCUGCUGUCAUUUUCCUAGCAGUGCCCACAUAACCCCCAUCCUGCCCGCCCCCAGCUUGGGAACCCUUAACUCAGACAUACUUAUCAAGGGAAAGAAAACAGUCUCAUUGUUCAGGAGGAUAAGGACCAGCUCCCAGGAGACGCCUCAGACACGGCCCCUGUGGGUGGAGUCCUGGGUACAUGGCCUCCCCCAGGGGCCUUGUUCUCUGCCCAGGAACGGCCCCAGGGAGGGCCCUUCCCAGAAGCAGUCCUGGGCAGGGCCCCCUUGAGGAGCAGCCCUGGCAGGUGGGUCCUCGCCUUGUACGCUGCCUGCAGGUGCUGGAUGCUCCACAUGUGGGCACCGGGGAUGGUCCCACUUGAGGCUUUGAGCUCCGGCGAGGCCACCCUCUGUCCAGCCAGGGGGAGGGUGCCUCUGAGAAGGGGGCUGUCAGAGUUGCCUGAGGAGGGGGCUGGGAUGACCCCUAUCAAUCCCAGUCCUGGGGUUCCUUGGCUCUUGUCCCUCCCUGCAAGUGGGGAGGCCAUGAGAAGUUGUGGGGAAAGGCCCCAGAGACCCCAGGGCAGGGAAGGAGGCCUGGGGGCUGUGCUGGGGCCUGGAAGGGGGAGGCCUUGUGCUGCUCCCUGUGGUCUGACGGGCAGGAGGUUAGAGGGAGGGGCAGGCCUGCUUCCAGCAGGGUGGUCAGUGCAGGGCAGUCAGCGCAGGGCGGAGGUCUGUUUUCUCCUUGGUUAUUUCAGGUAAACCGCAUGCCCCGGGCCCCCAGAGUGGGAGAAAAGCCAGUUCAUGGCCCUCUCCCCACCUUCAGCACUGCCCCUCCCCCCAGUCUCCACCCUGGCAGGGCUGUGGGGCCCGGGGCAUCAGCUGAGCCCACUGGGCCCACAGCACCCUCAGGACCUCGCCACCCCUUGGGACCCACAGGGUAGCAUUCCAGGGCUUCUCCUACACAGGGGGCUCCAUUCGCCCGAAGGCCAAGGACUGCAGAGCUCAUCAAUGACGUCUGCCACUGACAGUCUUGGAGCCCUGUCAAGGGGACCUGUCCUGCGCUGGGCUGUCCACAGAGGAGCAGCGUGGAGGAGCUGGGAGUGCCCAGCCUGCCUGUGGGCUGCAUUGCCGCUUCCUGCCCAGGAGCCCUGCAGCCGUCUGUCCGCCUCUGAGUAGGACAGUGGGGUUUCCUGGCCAGGAGCAGAGUUUGUCACAUUCCAGUUAUGUCUGCCCAAUGUUCAGCUUUUGGGCAAGGGGUGCCGGUGGUUGAAGAGGCCCCUCUGGGCAGGAACCUCUCACCUGGGGCACGGGUGAGUGGGAGCCAUCCUCCACUGCCCACCUCCCAGCUGUGGCCCUGAGCUGCACUGGCCCUGUGGCCACAGACCAGUUGACCAGGAAGCCCUGGGAAUCAGUAGGAAAUGAGUUUGAGACCCGGUCCUUCACCUUAGGAAAUGAGUUUGAGACCCGGUCCUCCACAUUAGGAAAUGAGUUUGAGACCGGGUCCUCCACACAGGCAUCUGUGCACAUACACUCAGGCUCAGCAGGAGUUUGAGACCAGGUCCUCCACACAGGUUUCUGGGCACAUAGACUCAGGCUUGGCAGGAGGCCCUCCUGGUGCAAGUUCCAGCCCUUCCUUCAUUUUGUGUCUGGAGCAAGUGAGCACCCCAUGUGCCCAGAGUUCUCAUCCAAGAAGUGGGUUGAUGAGCCCAGCCUCGCAGGGAGCUGGGAGGUGGGAAGAGCUCACCCUGGUCUGGCUUGUGGUCCUUACAAUGAUGGCAUCAUUGUCAUCAUCAUCAUCAUCAUCCUCCUCCUUGUCAACCACUUAGAGCUCAUGAAGACAGCUCCCUCCAUCAUGCCCUGUUUUAUAGCUGAAACCAAAGAAUUCAAGCUCCAUAAGGAAGAACCUAGAGGCCCCCCACGUCAGCCUGCCCCAGCCUGGAGCUUACCCACCAUGGAAAUGUGUCUGUUGGCCUUACAGAGGAGAAGGCAUUUGGGCAGGGCUUUGAGGUAUGAGUAGGAGUUUGCUGAAUGAAAUGAGAGGAAAGGGUUUUCAGGGCAGAGGGAACAGGUUGGGGUGGUAAGAAGGGUCCUGAGGCCCAUAGAGAGUGACUGCUAUGAGUGAGUGGUUGGAACUGGCGUGACUGAAGAUGGGGAAGGACAUCUGGGGGUCGGGGGUGCCAGAGGAGUUGGGGAUUUAUCUGGAAGAUGGUGGGUGCUAAGGCAAGAAGAACCAAUUCCUUUUUCUUUUUGCCAAAGCAAAGCCCUCCAUAGGAUUUCCUUUUGGACUUUCUUUUUGAAAGAGUAAUGCACACUGACAGUAACCAUUUAGAUAAUACAGUUUCUAAAAGAAAAGCAAUGAUCCUUUGCCUCUCCCACACCCACCUUUUCCCCACAAGCCCCCAGAAGGCUGGGGGUCUGCUCUCCCUCCCUUGACAGCUGCAGGAUGUUUUGUGGUGGGGUGUGAGGGGCUUUGGCCAGUCCCUGGAGAUGGACGUGCUGGUGUGUCCAGUUUCCCCAGCCCACUUAAAUGGGUGCAGUGAGUGGCCUUUAUAAGUUCCCCGAAGGGGGCGUGUGGGGGACAGUUACAGACAUGUCGUUUAACAAAUGCUGCAGAUCCCCUUCCAGAAGUGAAGAACAUCUCAGCCGUGCCCUGGCAGGCCUGGCUCCUCCCCCUCCACACCUGAAGUUUCUGUUUAAAAUGUUUGGCCACUGGAGGGGUGAAGACACUCACCUGUGCCUGAGGCACUUUAUUAUCCUGACUGAGCGCGCCCUGCACCUCUCACUGUCCUGAAGUGGCUCGGCCCUCGGGCUUCAUCUGGGCCUUCUGUACCUGAGCCUGGGCUUGGCCCAGCGUGGCCAGUGGGCUCCGGGCCCCUCCUGCCAGCCUAGCACUUCUGAGACAGAAGCCUGGCGCAGCAGGCAGGCACCUCUGGACUUUGAGCCUGGGCCCUUGACAGCCAGGGAGAGGGCGACCCCCAGCACACACUACCCUAACCUUUAGCAACGUCCCCACUGCAGAUGGGGGUGCUAGCCUUGAAAGUUGGGUGCCCCAAGGGUUGGGGCAGGAGGGCAAGGGGCCGCCCCAGGGAGGUGGUGCAUGACACAGCCUAUAACAGGCAGUGACUCACUGCUCAUCCAGCCAUAAAGUCAGGGUGAUAGGCUCAGUGUCCCAGCCGUGCUCCCUGGAGUCCCUGCCCCAACGUCAUUCCCUUCUCUGCAGCCUGCGCUGGGCAGAGCUCCCUCCCCAGGGGGGCCGCCUGGGCCACUCUGGGACCAUCCACCCAUUCCAGACCCACCCAUUCCAACUCACUUGCUACUGCUGGGGAGACUGAGUGCCAGGGAGGGGGAGCAAGGGUAGAUGGAGAACUAACAGUGUCAGAGUCCACAGGUCAUCUGUCCCCCACUUUACAGUGUGGACUGCGGGAGGGGAUCCCAGUGUGGGCUGCAGAGCUCAGGGCCAGGAUGCUCGGCCUGUCCAGGCUGCGAUCUGGAGGAAGCGGGUACUCUCUGCUUAGCCCAGGGCCUUCCACGCUCCUGGGGGCUGCGGGGACAGAUCCAAGAACAUGGGCCCUGGGGCCAUGGUGUCCGAUUCAACCCACGCUUCCUCCCUGUUGACACCGGGCAACUUGCUGAGCCGCUCCGUGCCUCAGUUUCCUCGUCUGUAAAGUGGGAUUCAUAGUAGCUCCUUCCCGACUGGGCUGUCUGGGGAUUGGUGAGUGAUGCCGUGGGGCAGGAUCAUGAUUUACGGGGUGCCUGUAUGUUCUCCCAGAGACGGGAAGGGCCCUGAGGGGUGACUCCUCACCAGAUAGCGGGGUCUCCCAGGGACUAAGCAGGUGGGAGGGAUGGGCGCUGCCCUACUGUGCAGAGCCUUGGCGGGAUCCCUUGACGCUGUCCCCAGGCUCUGCGGGGCCAGGAAUAGGGCCACUGGGCCUGGGGUCCUUGUAGUUCAAGGGUCACCCUGAACUGCGGGGCUCUAACUAUAGAGACCCUGGGGCAGUGACGCCUGUGCAACCUGCCCGCCUGUCACUCCCUCCCCCAACCCCUCACACUUGCCCUGCCUCCUUGACCUGCCCUGCCCACCCCUCACCCUCACCCUCACGCUGCCCCCUUAUCCCGCCCCUGGCACCUGCCCUGCCCUUCCCCUCCUGUGAUGGUUAAUACUGAGUGUCAACUUGAUUGGACUGAAGGAUGCAAAGUAUCGA
rnacentral:lncRNA from 1 species